rnacentral:rRNA from 1 species
ACACAUUCUAGAGCCUAAUUCAUUUCAAUUAACAAUUAAAAUUACACUCAAAUCCAAAUUUUAAACCUUAAUGCUAAAGUUCAUCCUCAAAUAAAUUUAUUGUAAUCCAUCACUACUUCAAUAAGCUGCACCUUGAUCUGAUUUAUAAUAUAGUAAUAUAUUCAAAUUAUAUAUUUCCAAAAAUAAUUAACAACGACGAUAUACAAGCAAAAUUAAAGUUUUAUUAAUCGUGGAUUAUCGAUUACAGGACAGAUUCCCCUGAUUGGAAUAAAAAACCGCCAAAUUUUUUGAUUUUAAAGAACAUAACUUAUACUUAUCAGGUCUACUAUUCCACACCUAGAAUAAUGGGGUAUCUAAUCCCAGUUUAUUGUCUAGAUUUCUUAAUCCUCACAACCAAAAAUUUAAUUAAAUAAAAAAUAGGAUUUCACCCAAUAUUCCACUAAAAUAAAAAUUAAUUCUCACUAAUUAAGUAUAUUAACCGAAAAAAAAUAGUAGCAUUAUUUGUUUAACCGCA